AUGCUCUGCCCCUACCUCGCUUUUGGCCACCUGCUUCCGUACCUAGAGCUCGCCGAGCGCCUGGCGCUGCCCGGCCACCUUGUGUCCUAUGUCUCCACCCCGCGCAACCUCGCCCGCCUCCCACCGCUGCGCCCCGCUGCGGCGCCGCACGUGGACCUCGUCGAGCUCCCCUUGCCGUGCGUCAACGACCUGCCCGACGGCGCGGAGUCCACCAACGAUGUCACCGCCACCGAUCAUGAGCUCCACUGGAAGGCUUUCGACGGCCUCGCCGCGCCCUUUGGGAGGUCUUGGCCGCUGCGUGCACCGACGAGGCCACGAGGCCUCACUGGAUCAUCGUUGACUGCUUCCACCACAGGGCCACCGCCGCCGCCCUCGAGCACAAGGUACCAUGUGCGGCGCUUCUGA
rnacentral:rRNA from 1 species